rnacentral:rRNA from 1 species
ACGGGUGAGUAACACGUGGGCAGCCUGCCCUUGAGACUGGGAUAACUUCGGGAAACCGGAGCUAAUACCGGAUAAUAUAAGGAACCUCCUGGUUCCUUGUUGAAAGAUGGUUUCGGCUAUCACUUAAGGAUGGGCCCGCGGCGCAUUAGCUAGUUGGUGAGGUAACGGCUCACCAAGGCGACGAUGCGUAGCCGACCUGAGAGGGUGAUCGGCCACACUGGGACUGAGACACGGCCCAGACUCCUACGGGAGGCAGCAGUAGGGAAUCUUCCACAAUGGACGAAAGUCUGAUGGAGCAACGCCGCGUGAGUGAUGAAGGCCUUCGGGUCGUAAAGCUCUGUUGUUAGGGAAGAACAAGUGCGAGAGUAACUGCUCGCACCUUGACGGUACCUAACCAGAAAGCCACGGCUAACUACGUGCCAGCAGCCGCGGUAAUACGUAGGUGGCAAGCGUUAUCCGGAAUUAUUGGGCGUAAAGCGCGCGCAGGUGGUUUCUUAAGUCUGAUGUGAAAGCCCACGGCUCAACCGUGGAGGGUCAUUGGAAACUGGGGAACUUGAGUGCAGAAGAGGAAAGUGGAAUUCC